UGUUAUUCCAGAUGAAUUUGCAAAUUGCC
rnacentral:piRNA from 1 species